UGGGGAAUUUUGGACAAUGGGCGCAAGCCUGAUCCAGCCAUGCCGCGUGCAGGAUGAAGGCCUUCGGGUUGUAAACUGCUUUUGUACGGAACGAAAAGGUUUCUUUUAAUACAGGGAACUGAUGACGGUACCGUAAGAAUAAGCACCGGCUAACUACGUGCCAGCAGCCGCGGUAAUACGUAGGGUGCGAGCGUUAAUCGGAAUUACUGGGCGUAAAGCGUGCGCAGGCGGUGAUGUAAGACAGAGGUGAAAUCCCCGGGCUCAACCUGGGAACUGCCUUUGUGACUGCAUCGCUGGAGUGCGGCAGAGGGGGAUGGAAUUCCGCGUGUAGCAGUGAAAUGCGUAGAUAUGCGGAGGAACACCGAUGGCGAAGGCAAUCCCCUGGGCCUGCACUGACGCUCAUGCACAAAAGCGUGGGGAGCAAACAGG
rnacentral:rRNA from 1 species